GGCAGAGUGCCCGAGUGGUCCAAGGGGAUUGACUUGAAUGAGCUCUCUCAUCAGCUAUCAAUUACGUUCGCGUGCGCAGGUUCGAACCCUGUCUCUGUCG
rfam:Claviceps purpurea 20.1, WGS project CAGA01000000 data, contig: scaffold00012